rnacentral:rRNA from 1 species
UACGUAGGGUGCGAGCGUUGUCCGGAAUUAUUGGGCGUAAAGAGCUCGUAGGCGGCCUGUCGCGUCGGUUGUGAAAGCCCGGGGCUUAACCCCGGGUCUGCAGUCGAUACGGGCAGGCUAGAGUUCGGUAGGGGAGAUCGGAAUUCCUGGUGUAGCGGUGAAAUGCGCAGAUAUCAGGAAGAACACCAAUGGCGAAGGCAGCUCUCUGGGACGGUACUGACGCUGAGACGCGAAAGCGUGGGGAGCGAACAGG